rnacentral:rRNA from 1 species
AGAGUUUGAUCAUGGCUCAGGAUGAACGCUAGCGGCAGGCCUAACACAUGCAAGUCGAGGGGUAACAUAGGAAAGCUUGCUUUUCUGAUGACGACCGGCGCACGGGUGCGUAACGCGUAUACAACCUACCUUUUAGCGGGGAAUAGCCCAGGGAAACUUGGAUUAAUGCCCCAUAGUAUAUAGACUUCUCCUGAAGUUUAUAUUAAACAUUUAUGGCUAUUAGAUGGGUAUGCGUCCUAUUAGUUAGUUGGUAAGGUAACGGCUUACCAAGGCAGCGAUAGGUAGGGGUCCUGAGAGGGAGAUCCCCCACACUGGUACUGAGACACGGACCAGACUCCUACGGGAGGCAGCAGUGAGGAAUAUUGGACAAUGGGCGAGAGCCUGAUCCAGCCAUACCGCGUGCAGGAAGACUGCCCUAUGGGUUGUAAACUGCUUUUACAGAGGAAGAACCACUCCCACGUGUGGGAGUUUGACGGUACUCUGCGAAUAAGGAUCGGCUAACUCCGUGCCAGCAGCCGCGGUAAUACGGAGGAUCCAAGCGUUAUCCGGAAUCAUUGGGUUUAAAGGGUCCGUAGGCGGGCAGUUAAGUCAGUGGUGAAAGUCUUCCGCUCAACGGGAGAACUGCCAUUGAUACUGAUUGUCUUGAGUUAUUAUGAAGUGGUUAGAAUGAGUAGUGUAGCGGUGAAAUGCAUAGAUAUUACUCAGAAUACCGAUUGCGAAGGCAGAUCACUAAUAAUAUACUGACGCUGAUGGACGAAAGCGUAGGUAGCGAACAGGAUUAGAUACCCUGGUAGUCUACGCCGUAAACGAUGGUUACUAGCUGUUCGGCCCAAUUGAGGGCUGAGUGGUUAAGCGAAAGUGAUAAGUAACCCACCUGGGGAGUACGUUCGCAAGAAUGAAACUCAAAGGAAUUGACGGGGGCCCGCACAAGCGGUGGAGCAUGUGGUUUAAUUCGAAGCAACGCGCAGAACCUUACCAACCCUUGACAUCCUGUGCUAACCCGAGAGAUCGGGCGUCCACUUCGGUGGCGCAGUGACAGGUGCUGCAUGGCUGUCGUCAGCUC